UACGUAGGGUGCAAGCGUUGUCCGGAAUUAUUGGGCGUAAAGAGCUCGUAGGCGGUUUGUCGCGUCUGCUGUGAAAACCCGAGGCUCAACCUCGGGCCUGCAGUGGGUACGGGCAGACUAGAGUGCGGUAGGGGAGAUUGGAAUUCCCGGUGUAGCGGUGAACUACGCAGAUAUCGGGAGGAACACCGGUGGCGAAGGCGGUUCUCUGGGCCUGUACUGACGCUGAGGAGCGAAAGCGUGGGGAGCGAACAGG
rnacentral:rRNA from 1 species